rnacentral:tRNA from 1 species
GCCGCUAUGGUGAAAGUGGUAGACACGCUGCUCUUAGGAAGCAGUGCUAGCGCAUCUCGGUUCAAGUCCGAGUAGCGGCA